CAAGCAUUUUUACAUUAUAUAGUAUUUAAACUCAGUUUUUGUUUCCUCUUAUGUCAUAAACUUUUUACAGAGCUUAUUGACACAGUAUUUUUCUUUCCCUUCAAUUUUCCACAGACUAAAAAGGAGGAAGAAGAGCUUUCUCUGGAAAUGAAAUCAAGCAGCUUUCCUUGUAUUGAAAGGAAAGCGGCUGAAGACAGAGUGUUCCAAGAACCAAGAGAAUGAAUGUGGCUGAUGUGUGGAGAGAAGAGAUGGACCAAGAUGAGACUGGAAAGUCUACUGCUGGGGCUGUUAACCAAACCCAACUCAUAAAGCAGAGGAUAAGAGAUCUUUUGACACAGUCUGGAAAAGUUGUAGAAGGCUGUUCAGCCAUGCCUAGGAGCAAGCCAACAGUAAGGAAGAUGAAUGCUUUCCAUUACAGCUCUCCAAAAAUGGGGAAUGUGAGUCAAGGAGUGUGA
rnacentral:lncRNA from 1 species